CUUUGGAACUAAGUGCUAGAAUCAGUUCGUUUUCAAUUGUUCAUUCAUUGACAACAUGAAAAUUUACGCUUUUAUUGGCUUUGUCCUAGCUUUGCUAGCCGUUGCUGCAGCUAAUCCUAAUCCUCACCCAGUGCCUGGUGGUGGCGGCGGC